AACCCAAUGUGAACCAUACCAAACUGUUGCCUCGGCGGGGUCACGCCCCGGGUGCGUCGCAGCCCCGGAACCAGGCGCCCGCCGGAGGGACCAACCAAACUCUUUCUGUAGUCCCCUCGCGGACGUUAUUUCUUACAGCUCUGAGCAAAAAUUCAAAAUGAAUCAAAACUUUCAACAACGGAUCUCUUGGUUCUGGCAUCGAUGAAGAACGCAGCGAAAUGCGAUAAGUAAUGUGAAUUGCAGAAUUCAGUGAAUCAUCGAAUCUUUGAACGCACAUUGCGCCCGCCAGUAUUCUGGCGGGCAUGCCUGUCCGAGCGUCAUUUCAACCCUCGAACCCCUCCGGGGGGUCGGCGUUGGGGAUCGGGAACCCCUAAGACGGGAUCCCGGCCCCGAAAUACAGUGGCGGUCUCGCCGCAGCCUCUCCUGCGCAGUAGUUUGCACAACUCGCACCGGGAGCGCGGCGCGUCCACGUCCGUAAAACACCCAACUUCUGAAAUGUUGACCUCGGAUCAGGUAGGAAUACCCGCUGAACUUAAGCAUAUCAAUAAGCCGGGAGGAAA
rnacentral:rRNA from 1 species